ACGUUUUACUAUGAUUACAAUAAACUCAGUUAAGAUCGGCUAACCACCGUGCUGAGAAUAUGCGUAUAUCGACAGAUGGUUAUAUGGGAUUGCUUUAUAACUGUUUGUUCCAAAAUACCGUGAGAUAUAUUAGGAUAGUGGGAAAAUCCCUAAAGAUAAGCAUAUGUACUGAGGGUAAACGUAGUCAAAUGCUAUCCACUUAUCGUUGACACAAUAGAGAGCUGCACUUGCAGUGCUUAACCCUGAUGCCUGUGACUUGGUAACUCAUAGGAGUUAGGUAGGGGAAUACCAAAAUAAGUCAAUUUGCCGUGAUGGUUUGGAAACAGACCUAUAAGAUAAGUCAGAUGAUGGAGUAGCCAAAGGCAGUAGAAGAAUAAUUUUUUAAUUUAGAUAGUAAAUUCAGGUAAGUUUACAUAUCAAAUUACAACUUCUGAAUGGUUGGUGAAACUUGUGGCGUGACCAAUCCCACCGAUGCGGAGACAGGUGUAUUCCUGUUGGUUAAAAAGUGUAUGAAUGACGGUUUAUAUGCUCAGAUUUAGCUAUAUCGUGGCAGAAUAUGAUUGCGUUUAUCGAGGCAGCCCGAAGGGGUUAUUGUAAUCAUAAUAAAGC
rnacentral:ncRNA from 1 species